UGGGGGAUUUUGCACAAUGGGCGCAAGCCUGAUGCAGCGACGCCGCGUGAGGGAUGAAGGCCUUCGGGUUGUAAACCUCUUUCGCUGGGUUGAAAGGCCAUGCUUUGGGUGUGGUUGAUUUGAACUGGUAAAGAAGUACCGGCUAACUACGUGCCAGCAGCCGCGGUAAUACGUAGGGUACUAGCGUUGUCCGGAUUUAUUGGGCGUAAAGGGCUUGUAGGUGGUUUGUCGCGUCUGUCGUGAAAUCCUGUGGCUUAACCAUGGGCUUGCGGUGGGUACUGGCAGGCUUGAGUGCGGUAGGGGAGACUGGAAUUCCUGGUGUAGCGGUGGAAUGCGCAGAUAUCAGGAGGAACACCGGUGGCGAAGGCGGGUCUCUGUGCCGUUACUGAAACUGAGGAGCGAAAGCGUGGGGAGCGAACAGG
rnacentral:rRNA from 1 species